AACGCGAAGAACCUUACCUGGGUUUGACAUGCACAGGACGCUGGUAGAGAUAUCAGUUCCCUUGUGGUCUGUGUGCAGGUGGUGCAUGGCUGUCGUCAGCUCGUGUCGUGAGAUGUUGGGUUAAGUCCCGCAACGAGCGCAACCCUUGUCUCAUGUUGCCAGCGGGUGAUGCCGGGGACUCGUGAGAGACUGCCGGGGUCAACUCGGAGGAAGGUGGGGAUGACGUCAAGUCAUCAUGCCCCUUAUGUCCAGGGCUUCACACAUGCUACAAUGGCCGGUACAAAGGGCUGCGAUGCCGUGAGGUUAAGCGAAUCCUUUAAAGCCGGUCUCAGUUCGGAUCGGGGUCUGCAACUCGACCCCGUGAAGUCGGAGUCGCUAGUAAUCGCAGAUCAGCAACGCUGCGGUGAAUACGUUCCCGGGCCUUGUA
rnacentral:rRNA from 1 species